GUCACAUACUGGGUGUAUGUAGGCAGAGCAGCUGAAGGAGGUGCAUGGUUAAAGUCCGUCUAAAGAGAUCAGGAAGAGGGCCUGUGGGUGCUGUGUUUGCAGCCUACUGGUGACUGUGAGCAGGGUCUCAGAAGCCGUGUCAGCGUUAGCGGAGGGUGGGACGUACACAGCAAUUAAUAUAACGUGUGUGAACUCCCGUGGCAGGUAGAAUGGCCUCAUGCCUACCGCUAACAGCUCAAAGUCUCUGUUACACAGCUUAAUUCUGACAGUGCAAUGUCGUGGCAUACACCACCUGGUGUUCACAAACACAGCCAGACCCCCUCCCUUCCUCUUCUUACCGCUGUUCUCCGUUCUGUCCGCACGUAGCAGAUGAAAAUUGUCCAGUGCGACAGUCGAGUCCGGGAUGAGUGACGUCAGCCAGGUCUCCGUGAACAGCAGGACGCUGCUCGUUCUGUACUCCGGCUGGUACCGUUUCAACGCCGCGAGCUCGUCGAUCUUGUUGGGCAGAGAUCUCACGUUCCCCAUGAUGACGGAGGGGACAGCGGGCCUGAAGCGUCUCGUUUUCUCCCGUUGUACUAGAGACUAGAGACUUGAUGUCGUGUCCGUGUUUUCUUUUGCAUGUUUUUAACAUCGCAAUGUCCAACGCACCUUGAAUACCGCAGCGGCAGAAGGAUUCGGCCUCAUUGAACAGGUUGAAUCCGCUCCUGAACCGUAGCGUCCAACUCGCAGACAGCCCGGUGAAGUAGCUUGGUCUAUUGGCCAGUCUCUGCACCACCGGAGUCUUUUACUAGAUGGUAACAUUUUGAACUUGCGUUUCUUAUUUUCGCUCUAAACACGAUAAUUACUGUAUGUCUGGCAGCACUGAUACAUGCUGGCAAGCAGAGGCAGAGAAGCAUCUCCUACAACUGCAGGACUUCCUUUGGUUAAACAAAUUCUGUCACUGCUCUUUACGUUUGUUUAGGUUUGUUCCAUGUACUCUAAUUUAAACUAUUGGUUGAUUACUAUUUUUGUUUCAGGUGCCCCAACCAACCUUCUUAUCAAGCCUCUCUUCCACCGCUACCACCUCUUAGCGAGCCUCUGGUGGGACGGGUUCAUCCUCUGUGCUGAGACUUAAUUAUGAUAUGCCACAGCAACGUCAGCCCCAAGUAUUGGCUGAGGUGGAGUCAACUUUAGCAGCAGUGAUGCAGCAUCAUAAUGCACAAUCUAACCUAAGCCAUGCAGAUGUUGGAUUAUUUGUUGCACAUGCAGCCCAGCUCCAGUCAUUCUGUGAAGAUGUCAUGUUCAUUAACUCUGAUCACUGAAAUCACACUUCUGCUGUGGACCCGUUUUUGUGGGGAGUACCAAGAUCAUAAGGCGCAUAUAAACCAACCUCUUGUUAAGCCAACACCUCCGUCUCCUGCAGAGGCGCUCCGCAAUGGGGAAAUCUACAGGUCAGCAGGAAAGCAAAAGGUCAGUCCCAGCCAUCAUGUUGUGAAGACUUACUUUGGAACAUUCAAGAUGCUGCGUGUGUCCUUUCUCUUCUUCCAGAGACUGCGCCCUACAGAACCUUGCAGCGCAGAUGAAGGCACUCCCUAAAGUUGUGGGCUGUGAGCUGCCACCUACUCGGGAUUUGCUGGUGAUAGACGGACAUGGAUCUACUCUGCAGCUUGCAUUAUUACACGCCAAGUGUGUGUUUCACUGUUUGAUAAUGGAAGGGAGCAAACUCAAUACUUGGUGGAGAAAACGUUGGCUGCAAUACAUCUGAAUCUGAACUGUGAUAAAGAAAAAUAACGUGACAGCGGAUGAAGUUUGUUCCCAAGAACGGGAACAAAAAAACAGUUGUGAUUCUGAUGUUGGUAAUAACAUGAGAUGUAUUCAUUAGGUAAUACUACAGAAAAUGUCUUAUUACCAAUAUGUUUCUUCAUAGUGUGAAUUUGAGGUUUGACUUGGAGUUUUGACGUGCUGCAUUUUUCACGCAGUCACUUUGGUUUUGACAUUAAUUUUGUCGAUUUGAUUCUGCUUCAAACAAAAGCUCUAAGAUUUGACCAAGAAUGGGUUUAGAUUUAUUGAAGACAUUUACACAGACACGGUCUACUGAAGAAGUGGCAUAACUGUACUGUAGCUAAAUGUACAAUAGUACCAGUAGUUCCACUCCUCUAUUGUAGCUUUGACUUGUCUGUAGUUACAUUUCAAGUUUUUAUACAACAUUUGUUCUUCUUUAAAUGUUCUUUGUUUUUCUGGAAGUCCUGAUGAGAUUUGUACAAGCAGACUUGAAGCAACAGCACAACGUCUUAAUUUACGGAAGCCAACUGUGCGGCUCUUAGCCUCCUCCUACUACUUUGUUAUUGAGUGUGCUCGCUUUGUCCGUCGCCUCCUGGUUUAAUUCCAUUAGCCUGCAAAGAAAGAAAUCUGUGGGGACCCCUCACAUCCUAAGUCCCAUGUUCCAGUGGCUCCCAUCAGGACACAGACUCCCUGAUGCAGGACCCAAAUAGGAGAAACACUGUAAUCCCAGCAGUAGUUAUCCAUCUGAAUGCUGUCCUGUACAAUGACGCUUUUAAUUGAUCUUAUUAGUAAUAUUAAUUUUCCUGGAUGCUUUUCCUUAAUUGGCCUUCAGGGAUAAAUAAUAGAGAGAAAGUGUUUUAAAUUGAAUUGAUCAAUACAUUAUAAAUACCUGAAAUACUUAUGUACACAUUAUUCAAAGAAAUAAAUUAAAAACAAAUCUAUGUUGUGAAGUUCACAUCUGAAAAUAUGUCAGUUGUAUAAAAAACAUUUUGCCGUUUUUGCUCACGCACGUCAGCGCGUGCGUCAGUCAAUGUCAUGGUAACAACAAACGCUUGGCCCGACCGAGUCUAUAUAAGGCGCGCAGUCACGGGGGUUCCCCUUUUGCAGUCGGACACUGACGUUUAGAGACGCAAGCAACGACAGAUGGGUAGUGAAUUCCGUGUAAAUUUUAAUAUUUAUCACUUAAAUGACCAAAAUUGUUUGGAAUAAAUAAAGAAUAUAUGUACGAUACAUCUAUUGUAUGUGUAUUUAUGUGUUUAUUGACAACGUAACUUGUCAUUUUGGUCAAAGUUUAAAAAUAUUCAUAUUUUUAAAAUGGCGACCGCACCGACUGUAAACUGCCGCAGCGCUCCAGGCCUUUUCGGUAGCUGCAACCUUAAAUAUUAUCGCCUAAGGUUAUUUAUUUUAGUUCAAUCUAAAUCUACCGUAUAGACACAUGGCCAUUGUUGGACUUCGCUAACGGAUCAUUCUGUUGCCAUUAAAGUCUCGGGAGUGGAGCAGUGGUUAGCGCCGCAAGCUAAGUAGCGCCCCUGCCAGGAUGCUAUCUGUUUCCGCUCACGCACGUCAGCGCGUGCGUCAGUCAAUGUCAUGGUAACAACAAACGCUUGGCCCGACCGAGUCUAUAUAAGGCGCGCAGUCACGGGGGUUCCCCUUUUGCAGUUGGACACUGACUUUUAGAGACGCAAGCAACGACAGAUGAGUAGUGAAUUCCGUGUAAAUUUUAAUAUUUAUCACUUAAAUGGCCCAAGUUGUUUGGAAUGAAUAAAGGAUAUAUGUACGAUACAUCUAUUGUAUGUGUAUUUAUGUGUUUAUUGACAACGUAACUUGUCAUUUUGGUCAAAGUUUAAAAAUAUUCAUAUUUUUAAAAUGGCGACUGCACCGACUGUAAACUCCCGCAGCGCUGCAGCCUGUUUCCGCUCACGCACGUCAGCGCGUGCGUCAGUCAAUGUCAUGGUAACAACAAACGCUUGGCCCGACCGAGUCUAUAUAAGGCGCGCAGUCACGGGGGUUCCCUUUUUGCAGUUGGACACUGACGUUUAGAGACGCAAGCAACGACAGAUGGGUAGUGAAUUCCGUGUAAAUUUUAAUAUUUAUCACUUAAAUGACCAAAAUUGUUUGGAAUGAAUAAAGGAUAUAUGUACGAUACAUCUAUUGUAUGUGUAUUUAUGUGUUUAUUGACAACGUAACUUGUCAUUUUGGUCAAAGUUUAAAAAUAUUCAUAUUUUUAAAAUGGCGACCGCACCGACUGUAAACUGCCACAGCGCUCCAGGCCUUUUCGGUAGCUGCAGCCUUAAAUAUUAUCGCCUAAGGUUAUUUAUUUUAGUUCAAUCUACCGUAUAGACACGUUGUUGGACUUUGCUAACGGAUCAUUUUGUUGCCAGUUUAGUAAUUAAAUCUGUGCAAGUGUGAUCUGGAAAUGCAGGCACGAUAUUACAGUUUUUCUCAGUCGCUUUAGUACAAUUCUCAGACCAGAAUUGAAGUUUGCAAAUAUGUGUGUGCAUUUCUCAAAACAAUUUGUACAAAACAGCAAAACACUGGAUUUCUUGCAAAAGCCUGUAACUUGCUCAAAAUCUUUAGUUCAUCCCUUCAUCGCAUUGCCAUCAGAAUGUCAAGUCCUUGUGUCAUUCAGAUCACCUGCCAAAGUGUGUGAUAGUUUGGGACAAUGUGAGUUUUCAUCACUCCAACAUCAUUAGGCGUCAGGAUGGAAAGUUGUAACACAGAUGACUGGACAGAUCUGGAUUUUUGUUCAAAGACAUCAUAAUCAUACUAUCAUGCUUUUCAGGGCCUAAUUAUUGUAUAUUUUGGGGUCUAUACGAUCUACGAUAUCGUAGAGCCAAUACACGAUAGAGUCCAUUAUGUUUUGAUGCUGUUUAGAUUGUGCGCACGUCACCAGAAACUGUUGUCACGCCUACCUGGUUGGCUCCUCUUCUCUGUCAAUCACAUUAUGAGCGCUGCUGAUUGGUUCAGUUACCUGCUCAGGUUUAUAUGCACACUUGUACCGUUUGUCCAGUAUUGCGAUAAGGGCGAAAAUAAGGAAGUGUGUUCAGAACCGAAGCAAAUUACUGGAUGAAAAGAGUCUGGGGAGCUGUGCAGUGCAGACACAGAAACCUACAUCUACAUGCAGGCCAAUAAGACGAGAAGAUAAAAGUCCAAGCUGGCUUCAGUAGUUUCGUACGGCCAGGGAGAGAGGCUGCAAUGAAAAGCGUUACACUAACGGGUUCACUGAAGAAAUGGAACUGAUGGUCACACAGAUUUAUGAAGGCAGACAUCCAAACCUAGAUUGGACCUCCAGGAGAGACGAGUGUGGCUCGUGCACAUUUAUGGACUUAAAGGUGCCCCAACCAACCUUCUUAUCAAGCCUCUCUUCCACCGCUACCACCUCUUAGCAAGCCUCUGGUGGGACGGGUUCAUCCUCUGCGCUGAGACUUAAUUAUGAUAUGCCACAGCAACGUCAGCCCCAAGUAUUGGCUGAGGUGGAGUCAACUUUAGCAGCAGUGAUGCAGCAUCAUAAUGCACAAUCUAACCUAAGCCAUGCAGAUGUUGGAUUAUUUGUUGCACAUGCAGCCCAGCUCCAGUCAUUCUGUGAAGAUGUCAUGUUCAUUAACUCUGAUCACUGAAAUCACACUUCUGCUGUGGACCCGUUUUUGUGGGGAGUACCAAGAUCAUAAGGCGCAUAAACCAACCUCUUGUUAAGCCAACACCUCCGUCUCCUGCAGAGGAGCUCCGCAAUGGGGAAAUCUACAGGUCAGCAGGAAAGCAAAAGGUCAGUCCCAGCCAUCAUGUUGUGAAGACUUACUUUGGAACAUUCAAGAUGCUGCGUGUGUCCUUUCUCUUCUUCCAGAGACUGCGCCCUACAGAACCUUGCAGCGCAGAUGAAGGCACUCCCUAAAGUUGUGGGCUGUGAGCUGUGUGGUGGAAAUUUUGCAAUAAAGGCAGAUGAGAGAGA